UACGAGUGCCCCGAGCGUUAUCCGGAAUCAUUGGGCGUAAAGGGUGUGUAGGUGGUCAGAUUAGUCUUGUGUUAAAUUCUUCGGCUUAACCGGGGGCAUGCAUAGGAAACGGUCUGACUUGAGGAUGCGAGAGGUGUGUGGAACUCAUGGUGUAGGGGUGAAAUCCGUUGAUAUCAUGGGGAACACCAAAAGCGAAGGCAGCACACUGGCGCAUUCCUGACACUGAAACACUAAAGCGUGGGUAGCGAAUGGG
rnacentral:rRNA from 1 species